GGGGGACAACAGUUGGAAACGACUGCUAAUACCGCAUGAUGUAUCUGGAAGGCAUCUUCCGGAUACCAAAGAUUUAUCGCUGUGGGAUGGGCUCAUGUCUGAUUAGUUAGUUGGUGGGGUAACGGCCUACCAAGACUGCGACCAGUAGCCGGACUGAGAGGUUGAACGGCCACAUUGGGACUGAGAUACGGCCCAGACUCCUACGGGAGGCAGCAGUGGGGAAUAUUGGGCAAUGGGCGAAAGCCUGACCCAGCAACGCCGCGUGAAGGAAGAAGGUCUUCGGAUUGUAAACUUCUUUUA
rnacentral:rRNA from 1 species